rnacentral:rRNA from 1 species
CCCUUAGACGUUCUGGGCCGCACGCGCGCUACACUGACCAGUGCAACAAGCAUCCGUCCUUGGCCGACAGGCCCGGGCAAUCUUUGAACGCUGGUCGUGAUGGGGAUAGACUUUUGCAAUUUUUGGUCUUCAACGAGGAAUUCCUAGUAAACGCAAGUCAUCAACUUGCAUUGAUUACGUCCCUGCCCUUUGUACACACCGCCCGUCGCACCUACCGAUUGAAUGGUCCGGUGAAGCCUCCGGAUUGGCGCGCUCCUCGGUGCCGCCGAGAAGUUGGCUAAACCUUACCAUUUAGAGGAAGGUGAAGUCGUAACA